ensembl:lncRNA
ACUCCGCACGUGAGCCUUGUGCUUCGCGCUGGGAAGAGGGGGGAGGGGCGGUAGUUACACUCGCACUAGCUAGAGAACAGAGCGGGAGGGAGAGACAGAGAAAGAGAACCAGGGACAACAACGUCACAUUAGAAAGGUAUAGUAUAGUUAUUAUGCCAAAAUCAGGAACGCGUUACUCGUUACUGGGAUUUAGAUAGGCUCGUUAUUUGUUACUUUGUGUGGUGGCUAUCGCGUAGCUUCCACAGAUUCAGUAACAUUAGCAAGUGGUGGAGGCCAGCAGGUGGAUGAGAGAAAGGGGAGGCAAGAGGAGAGACCCGAAGCGGCCGCCCG